rnacentral:rRNA from 1 species
AUGGCAACGGCGACCCGGAUGCUGGCUCGCCGCGCCGCCCCCGGCCUCCUCCGCUCCGCCACCACCCCCGGCCUCCUACGCUCCGCCGCCGCCGCCACAGGCCCCAACCCCGCCCUCGCGCUGCCGGCGCUGCUGCAGACGCAAGGAGGAGGACGGCGCUGGUACCGCGCAGCAAGAGGGGACCCGUCGCCCUCGUUCUACGAGCCGCCGCCGACCCCGGCCAACCUCGGCCUCAGCAUCGUCCCGGAGAAGAAGGCGUUUGUGGUGGAGCGCUUCGGCAAGUACCUCAAGACCCUGUCGUCGGGGAUCCACCUCCUCAUGCCGGGCGUCGACCAAAUCGCCUACGUCCACUCGCUCAAGGAGGAGGCCAUCCCCAUCCCGGACAACUCGGCAAUCACCAAGGACAACGUCUCGAUACAGAUCGGAGGAGUGCUAUACGUCAAGAUUGUCGACCCCUACAUGGCCUCGUACGGCGUGGAGAACCCCAUCUAUGCUGUCAUCCAACUUGCGCAGACGACCAUGAGGAGUGAACUUGGCAAGAUUACCCUCGACAAGACCUUCGAGGAGAGGGACACGCUCAACACCAACAUUGUGAAGUCAAUCAAUGAGGCAGCCGAAACUUGGGGUUUGAAGUGUCUUCGUUACGAAAUCAGGGACAUCACUCCUCCAGAUGGAGUCAAGAAGGCCAUGGAGAUGCAGGCCGCAGCAGAGCGCAAGAAACGUGCUCAGAUCCUCGAGUCUGAAGGUGCUAUGAUGGAAAACGCAAACAAAGCAAAGGGUGAAGCUGAAGCAAUUCUUGCCCGGUCACAGGCCACUGCUGAAGGGAUCAGGAUGGUCUCAGAGUCGUUUAAAACUGAAGGCAGCACAGAGACAAACACAAUGCUUCUUCCCAGCGACGCAGGCAAUCCGGGAACAAUGAUUGCUCAGGCUCUCCAGAUAUACAACCACACGUACAAGCAGAAACUGACUCUGGGAAGCCCCAGCCCCAGCCCCAGCCCCAGCAGGCGGGCAGAAGAGGCUGAUUUGUCCCUUGGGAUGCCAUCCGUGAGCGACCUCGGCACCUUUCAGCACCAGAAGUAA